rnacentral:rRNA from 1 species
CACAUGCAAGUCGAACGGAUCCUUCGGGAUUAGUGGCGGACGGGUGAGUAACACGUGGGAACGUGCCUUUUGGUUCGGAACAACUCAGGGAAACUUGAGCUAAUACCGAAUGUGCCCUUCGGGGGAAAGAUUUAUCGCCAUUAGAGCGGCCCGCGUCUGAUUAGCUUGUUGGUGAGGUAAUGGCUCACCAAGGCUACGAUCAGUAGCUGGUCUGAGAGGAUGAUCAGCCACAUUGGGACUGAGACACGGCCCAAACUCCUACGGGAGGCAGCAGUGGGGAAUCUUGCGCAAUGGGCGAAAGCCUGACGCAGCCAUGCCGCGUGAAUGAUGAAGGUCUUAGGAUUGUAAAAUUCUUUCACCGGGGACGAUAAUGACGGUACCCGGAGAAGAAGCCCCGGCUAACUUCGUGCCAGCAGCCGCGGUAAUACGAAGGGGGCUAGCGUUGCUCGGAAUUACUGGGCGUAAAGGGAGCGUAGGCGGAUAGUUCAGUCAGAGGUGAAAGCCCAGGGCUCAACCUUGGAACUGCCUUUGAUACUGGCUAUCUUGAGUUUGGGAGAGGUAUGUGGAACUCCGAGUGUAGAGGUGAAAUUCGUAGAUAUUCGGAAGAACACCAGUGGCGAAGGCGACAUACUGGCCCAAUACUGACGCUGAGGCUCGAAAGCGUGGGGAGCAAACAGGAUUAGAUACCCUGGUAGUCCACGCUGUAAACGAUGAGUGCUAGUUGUCGGCAUGCAUGCAUGUCGGUGACGCAGCUAACGCAUUAAGCACUCCGCCUGGGGAGUACGGUCGCAAGAUUAAAACUCAAAGGAAUUGACGGGGGCCCGCACAAGCGGUGAGCAUGUGUUUAAUUCGAAGCAACGCGCAGAACCUUACCACCUUUGACAUGCCUGGAC